CCUUAGAGCGAGGACACCGAAGCGAGAAGAUCAAAGAGCGAUGUUGCCACUGGUAAUAGAAAGGACACAAUCAGCUCUACAAAAGACUUGUCAUAGAGGGCUCAGAAAAGCUGGAUCCCAACCAGCCCAGGCCUCCAGGUAGUGGACCUGCUCAUGGACCAGUAGACAUGUCCCAGUCAUGAGCAGAUGGACCAAAACAGCCAUAUCUAAAGGUUUACCCUUGGACUGUGUACAACGACAGGAGACGGGGCUUCAACUAUGUGAUUCUCCAUUCAUAAGUGGUUGGAGUAUAAUAAUUUCCAUGUUUACUGCUUAUUGGUCACACAGAUCCCUGAGUGAGUGAGUGAGUGAGUGAGUGAGUGAGUGAGUGAGUGAGUGAGUGAGUGAGUGAGUGAGUGAGUGAGUGCCCUCUCUUUGCCAU